UGUAAAACUAACAGAGCUGCUAAAAGGCUACGGUGGAGGGUUUCAAGAAAUUGUUAGAAGAAGCAAAGGAGGAUGGUUGAUCAUACUACUAAUUAUCAUAUAUUUAGGAAGAUACGGGGCCAUGAUCAGCGAUUCGAGGCCUUAGAUCGCAAGGAUUGAGAGGAAAGGCCUCAAACAACACCCUAAAUAUAAUUGAGAAUUUGUCGAGGCAGCAAAACCGCUACACGGAAGAUUAUUUCUGACAUUACUGCUGAACCAUAAAGUUCUGGAACUUUGAACCAACCAGAAGUUUCUAUUUUUUU